rnacentral:rRNA from 1 species
UACGUAGGUGGCAAGCGUUGUCCGGAUUUACUGGGCGUAAAGGGAGCGUAGGCGGAUACUUAAGUGGGAUGUGAAAUACCUGGGCUUAACUUGGGUGCUGCAUUCCAAACUGGGUGUCUAGAGUGUUGGAGAGGAAAGUGGAAUUCCUAGUGUAGCGGUGAAAUGCGUAGAGAUUAGGAAGAACACCAGUGGCGAAGGCGACUUUCUGGACAAUAACUGACGCUGAGGCUCGAAAGCGUGGGGAGCAAACAGGAUUAGAUACCCUGGUAGUCCACGCCGUAAACGAUGAGUACUAGGUGUAGGGGGUAUCGAAUCCCCCUGUGCCGCCGUUAACGCAAUAAGUACCCCGCCUGGGGAGUACGGUCGCAAGAUUAAA